GCCCUUCACUACGGAAUAGCCUCUGGAAACGGAGAGUAAUACCGUAUGCGCCCUUCGGGGAAAGAUUUAUCGGUGAAGGAUUAGCCCGCGUCUGAUUAGAUAGUUGGUGGGGUAACGGCCUACCAAGUCGACGAUCAGUAGCUGGUUUGAGAGGAUGAUCAGCAACACUGGGACUGAGACACGGCCCAGACUCCUACGGGAGGCAGCAGUGGGGAAUCUUAGACAAUGGGCGCAAGUGAUCUAGCCAUGCCGCGUGAGUGACGAAGGCCUUAGGGUCGUAAAGCUCUUUCGCCAGGGAUGAUAAUGACAGUACCUGGUAAAGAAACCCCGGCUAACUCCGUGCCAGCAGCCGCGGUAAUACGGAGGGGGUUAGCGUUGUUCGGAAUUACUGGGCGUAAAGCGCGCGUAGGGGAUUGGAAAGUUGGGGGUGAAAUCCCGGGGCUCAACCCCGAACU
rnacentral:rRNA from 1 species